GACGUAGGGAGCGAGCGUUGUCCGGAUUCAUUGGGCGUAAAGAGCGCGUAGGCGGCCGUGCAAGUCGGUUGUGAAAUCCCGGGGCUCAACCCCGGGACUGCGUCCGAUACUGCACGGCUCGAGGCAGGUAGGGGAGAGUGGAAUUCCCGGUGUAGCGGUGAAAUGCGCAGAUAUCAGGAGGAACACCGAUGGCGAAGGCAGGUCACUGGGCCGCAACUGACGCUGAGGAGCGAAAGCAUGGGGAGCGAACAGG
rnacentral:rRNA from 1 species